rnacentral:lncRNA from 1 species
GAGAUGGUGUGGCAGUGAGCAGGUGGCAAUCUGGGUCUUCUCUCCAGCCAGCAAGAAGCUAAGUCCAAAGAAAUAUGAAGGUGGCCGUGAAUUAAAUGAUUUUAUUAGCUAUCUACAGCGAGAAGCUACAAAUCCCCCUAUAAUUCAAGAAGAAAAACCCAAGAAGAAGAAGAAGGCACAGGAAGAUCUCUAAAGCAGCAGCCAAAUAUACCACCUUGUAAAAGGACUCUUCUACCAGAGAGAUGGGAAAACC